rnacentral:rRNA from 1 species
GAUACCUACGGGGCGCAGCAGUGAGGAAUAUUGGUCAAUGGGCUUACGCCUGAACCAGCCAAGUCGCGUGAGGGAAGACUGCCCUAUGGGUUGUAAACCUCUUUUGUCAGGGAGCAAUUGGCGCUACGUGUAGCGUUAUCGAGAGUACCUGAAGAAAAAGCAUCGGCUAACUCCGUGCCAGCAGCGGCGGUAAUACGGAGAAUGCGAGCGUCAUCCGGAUUUAUUGGGAUUAAAGGGUGCGUAGGCGGAUUGCCAAGUCAGCGGUAAAAUCGCGGGGCUCAACCUCGCUCCGCGGU